rnacentral:rRNA from 1 species
GAGAGUUAAACAGUACGUGAAAUUGUUGAAAGGGAAACGAUUGAAGCCAGUCGUACCUAUGGGUAAUCAGCCUUUUGGGUGUGAUUUUGUGGAGCGUGAGGAGUUAAACGCCCUCAUGCUUGCAUAUUCGUGCACUUUGGGUGUACUUGCCCGUGUGUAAGUUAACAUCAAUUUUGGUGGUCAUAAAAUGGCUGGAGGAAUGUAGCUUCGAUCUUGUAUUGAAGUGUUAUAGCCUUCGGUAGAUGUGACGAUCGGGAUUGAGGAUUGCAACGGAUACCCUUCGGGGCUACCUGUCUGAUCUCUGAUUGUUGCUCUGGUGCCGAAAGCUUGCUUACGGUUAUCAAAGUCGAUGGUCAAUAGGUUAGAAUGGGUUAAAUUCGUUAAGGAUGUUGACGUAAUGGCUUUAAACGA